AGUUGUUGCAGUUAAAAAGCUCGUAGUUGAACUUCAGACCUGGCUGGGCGGUCUGCCUAACGGUAUGUACUGUCCGGCUGGGUCUUACCUCUUGGUGAGCCGGCAUGCCCUUCACUGGGUGUGUCGGGGAACCAGGACUUUUACCUUGAGAAAAUUAGAGUGUUCAAAGCAGGCUUAUGCCCGAAUACAUUAGCAUGGAAUAAUAAAAUAGGACGUGCGGUUCUAUUUUGUUGGUUUCUAGAGUCGCCGUAAUGAUUAAUAGGGAUAGUUGGGGGCAUUAGUAUUCCGUUGCUAGAGGUGAAAUUCUUGGAUUUACGGAAGACUAACUAUUGCGAAAGCAUUUGCCAAGGAUGUUUUCAUUAAUCAAGAACGAAGGUUAGGGGAUCGAAAACGAUCAGAUACCGUUGUAGUCUUAACAGUAAACUAUGCCGACUAGGGAUCGGGCGAACUCAAUUUGAUGUGUCGCUCGGCAC
rnacentral:rRNA from 1 species